UACGGGGGGGGCAAGCGUUGGGCGGAAUUACGGGGCGGAAAGGGCUCGUAGGCGGCCAACUAAGUCCGACGUGAAAUCCCUGGGCUCAACCCAGGAACUGCGUCCGAUACUGGUUGGCUUGAAUCCGGGAGAGGGAUGCGGAAUUCCAGGUGUAGCGGUGAAAUGCGUAGAUAUCUGGAGGAACACCGGUGGCGAAGGCGGCAUCCUGGACCGGCAUUGACGCUGAGGCGCGAAAGCGUGGGGAGCAAACAGG
rnacentral:rRNA from 1 species